AUACUCUGGUUUCUCUUCAGAUCAAAUAAAUCCCUUUUACUAAAGAUUUCCCUGGAACGGAUUUACUAUGAGUUUUCAAGAAUUUUUUAUGAGACUCUACAUUGUAGAGCUA